AAAAAAAAAAAAACCUUAAAAAAAAAAAAAAGAAAAUCUCUGCUUGAAAGAAAAUGAAAACAGAUUAGCAUUUUAUCAACUAAAAAAAUCCAAAAUAAAAUUCAAAGAUAAAUACUUGCACGCAAAAAAAUCAAAAGGUAUAGACUUUUGCUUCCUCAGAAGGAUAUUUUCGUCCAAAAAGAAAAGAUAAUACGCUUCGGAUGGAUACAAAGAGAGCAAGCGCAGACGAUUGGUGCUGGAGAAAUUGCAGAGGAGGCCUCCGGUUCCAUAUUAAAGGAAAAAAGAGAUUAUAAUAGUACUUGAACCGACGGAGUUACACAGCGUUUUUAUUAAAAAAAAA
rnacentral:misc_RNA from 1 species